rnacentral:rRNA from 1 species
UACGGAGGAUGCGAGCGUUAUCCGGAUUUAUUGGGUUUAAAGGGUGCACAGGCGGAUUUUUAAGUCAGCGGUCAAAUCGUGGGGCUCAACCCCAUCCAGCCGUUGAAACUGGGGAUCUAGAGUGUGCGAGAGGUAUGCGGAAUGCGUGGUGUAGCGGUGAAAUGCAUAGAUAUCACGCAGAACCCCGAUUGCGAAGGCAGCAUACCGGUGCACAACUGACGCUCAGGCACGAAAGCGUGGGUAUCGAACAGG